AUAAAACAAAGUUUUUUACAUAAGAGAUUUGGGAAAUGAGGGGUCCUAAGCUGGUUAGCGUACAAGAUCACCCCACACAAUGUCCGGUAAACACGCCUCGAUGAGGGGUUACACGUGACAGUAGCACGUAGUCAUCAUUAUCCCAUAUCUACCCUUCACACUCCCUUAGUGGUUAUUAAAGCGAGUGUUGGGUAGUGAUCUCUAUUGCAUAUUGUUACCCGUCCCUUCUUAAUGGUCCUGGAGGAAAUUUAGGGCCUCUACCUAUAGGGAGUUCUAGACAGAUCCCUAAGGUUUAAAGGAGAAAAUACUAAGGCGACAGGCAAGAACAAAUAGGACCUUAGCACAUGAGGCAGGAAAAAAAAGCAAUCAGAGGCUCAAGUUUACCUCUGCAAACAACGCACAUAAGCAGCACGACUCAAACACAAAUAAGGGUCGUAUUGUUAAAUAGUAUCCUAAGACAUGAUGUCUACGUGAAUAUCAAGACAUAUGAAAUAGGCAAUUUAUUUUUAUAAACUCAUAAGUAAAUACCCUAUCAGUUGCCUACAGAUUUUUAAGCCUAUUAAUCAGAACAACAUUAAGUAGCAGAAAUAAUUUCAGAAUUGGAAAAUUGAAAACGUCCUAUAGGCUUGCCUAAACGCUGAAUAGUGAUGUACUAAGAGCAUGAUAACUACAUUUGAUAUAGUAAAACAGUAGGCGUAUUUUAAAACUAACUCUUAAGUUCCUGUAGGUGUGUUGUCUAGUGAUAGAUUAGGGCAAUAUCUGAAAGAAUUAUUUCAGGAAAAACAAACCACUAAUUAGACCAAUUUCAAAGUAAACUAAUUACGAACUGGAUUGACUUAUUUAAACUAAACUAAUUUUUAUAUCUAUAUGCUAAUGUCGUCCUCUAUGAGCAUGAUAUAUAGUUGUUUACAAACUUAUAGGCAUGAUUGUUAGUGGAAAUAAAUGUAAACAACCAUUGGAACAGAAACUUGAACUUGGUACGUGCUUAUGUACGAUACCUAUUUAUGAAGUUGAUUGUAAAACCUAUAGGCAUGAUUUCUAGCAAGUGAGGCAAACAUAGCAAAUAUAGGCAAUCAUAUAAGCAUGGUUUCUAAUAUGGUAGGGCAGGCAUAGCAAACGGUAAGACCAAGUAACAAAUAAGGAAAGAAAUCAAUAUACGACCAAUAAAGAAAUAUUUCAAAUUCAAUAAGUAUAGGGUAAACAAUUAGGUCUAAGUUCAAAAAACUCUAAUUAAGGAGAUAGUUAGUAGGAAUAAAAUAACAAUACAGACAGGUAGGCGAAUCAAUCACUUUGAAUAUAAAGGGUAGGAAUCGAAGGUUUAAAGGAAGUUCUUCUAAUCAAACCAUACAAUAGGGAAUCCAGAAUCAAUCAAAGAGAUUCAUGAGUCAAUGGUUAUCAUAUAAAUAGAGUAAGAUUAGAAUAAUCAGACAUAGCAAACAUGAAGGUUAAAUAGCACUGGUAGAAAGAGGUAAUUCUUGAACAGUCAAGAAGAACAUAAGCAUAUAGGGUUGAUAUAAGUUAGGCUAAAAAUUCGGUAGGAACAUAUUCGAGGCAAUAUAAUCAUAGAAACUCAAACAAGAAAUGGUCAGUCAUGCUAAUACACAAAACCAAAUGAAAAACCUAGAAAAUUAGAGCUUUCAACAUAGACGAUUUGAAGAGGUAGUAAAAUCAUAGAAUUAGUCAAAAAUAUGCAAGAAACAGAAGUUUAAACACAAAUAAUCAAUUAAACAAAAUUUUAAAAGAAAUCUGAAACCCUAAUUUUGAGAAGAAGGUGAAGAACACUUGAAAUUAACGAUUCUUGUAAAGAGUUCCAAGGACAUUGUAAAACAUUAAAGAAACAAACUCAAAUCGUCGUAGAUAUGUGCAGAUCUAGGAGGAAGAAAUUAGGGUUUCAGAAGAAACACAUAUAUAGAUGAAAGAACUUAUCUAGAAUCCCAAGGAUCGUAACAAAUAUCGCAUGAUUUUGCUCGAAAUCAUGCUGAAGUAGCCAAGAACAGGCAAGUGACGAACCUUAGGUGCAAGUCGGCAUGGCCCUGUGUUGUUGAAGACCUUAGAGAACGCAUGCAUUGCAUGAGAGAAGCCAUUGGAGGCUUAGGAGACAAUGAGAAGUCACCAGAGAUGACGAGAGAAGAGAAGUCGCCGAUUGAAGGGCUAGGGUUAGUUGAGAGUGUUUUGAGAAAGGAGAGGAUCUUAGGGAGGCGGAUGUGAAAAUGGUUAGGGUUGGGGGCGUAUGGAAUAAAAAAGGCAAGACUGAACGAGGGUCGUUGAUCUAAAAGAUCAACGACCAUAAUUUAAUAGGUUUUGGAUCGGGUAUGGGUAAUUAGGGUAUGGGUCGGGUUAUUUAAUCCAAAAUUAGGCUGGGGUAUU
rnacentral:lncRNA from 1 species